rnacentral:snRNA from 1 species
GCGCUCACUUCAGCAGCACAUAUACUAAAAUUGGAACUAUACAGAGAUCAGCAUGGCCCCUGUGCAAGGAUGACACACAAAUUCACGAAGCAUUCCAUGUUAAA